rnacentral:other from 1 species
GUUCGGCUACGGCGUUGGUGACUGCCAACAAUGUUUUCUGAUCUAUGUUUUUCAUUUGUAGGGUAUCGAGAUGCUCUGGCGGCAGUAUACCGAGCUUGGCCUGAUUGGGCUUGUCCCAACUAGCCCUGUACUUGGAAACUAUAAGCCUAUAGCCGAGAUUCCCACCUGGUCACCCCAGGUCAAAAACUGAGGUAAGACGGCGCUGCGGUCGAACU